rnacentral:rRNA from 1 species
UACAGAGGUCCCAAGCGUUGUUCGGAUUCACUGGGCGUAAAGGGUGCGUAGGUGGUCGGGUAAGUCUGAUGUGAAAUCUCCGAGCUCAACUCGGAAAUGGCAUUGGAUACUAUUCGGCUAGAGGGUUUGAGGGGGGACUGGAAUACUUGGUGUAGCAGUGAAAUGCGUAGAUAUCAAGUGGAACACCAGUGGCGAAGGCGGCUCACUGGCCCGGUACUGACGCUCAUGUGCGAAAGCGUGGGGAGCAAACAGG